AGAGUUUGAUCAUGGCUCAGAACGAACGCUGGCGGCGUGGAUUAGGCAUGCAAGUCGAACGCGAAAGAGGGGGCAACCCCUCGAGUAGAGUGGCGAACGGGUGAGUAACGCGUGAAGAACCUGCCUUCAAGAGGGGGAUAACACUCCCAACGGGGUGCUAAUACCGCAUGAGACCACGGGGUCGCAUGGCCCUGAGGUCAAAGGUGGCCUCUAUUUAUAAGCUACCACUUGAAGAUGGCUUCGCGUCCCAUUAGCUAGUUGGCGGUGUAACGGACCACCAAGGCGACGAUGGGUAGCUGGUCUGAGAGGAUGGUCAGCCACACUGGGACUGAGAUACGGCCCAGACUCCUACGGGAGGCAGCAGUCGAGAGGCUUUGGCAAUGGGGGAAACCCUGACCAAGCGACGCCGCGUGGAGGAUGAAGGCCCUUGGGUUGUAAACUCCUUUUGUCGGGGAAGAAGUGCGAUCAGGUGAAUAAUCUGGUCGUUUGACGGUACCCGACGAAUAAGCUCCGGCUAACUCCGUGCCAGCAGCCGCGGUAACACGGGGGGAGCAAGCGUUGUUCGGAAUCACUGGGCGUAAAGGGCGUGUAGGCGGAUAGGUAAGUGGGACGUGAAAUCCCUCGGCUCACCCGAGGACCUGCGUCCCAAACUGCCAGUCUUGAGUACGGGAGAGGAUGAGGGAAUUCCUGGUGUAGCGGUGAAAUGCGUAGAUAUCAGGAGGAACACCGGUGGCGAAGGCGCUCAUCUGGCCCGAUACUGACGCUGAGGCGCGAAAGCUGGGGGAGCAAACGGGAUUAGAUACCCUGGUAGUCC
rnacentral:rRNA from 1 species